AAUGAACGUUGGCGGCGUGGAUUAGGCAUGCAAGUCGAGCGAGAAGGUUCCUUCGGGAACUGGAAAGCGGCGAACGGGGUAGUAAGGCGUAGGUGACGUGCCCUUGGGGCCGGAAUAGCUACGGGAAACUGUAGGUAAUGCCGGAUAACCUCCCGAUUUUUGAAGAGAAUGGGAGCAAUGGGUGUGAUUCCACCCAUGGAGCGGCCUGCGUGGUAUUAGCUAGUUGGUGAGGUAAUGGCUCACCAAGGCUCAGAUGCCUAGGGGGUGUGAGAGCAUGGCCCCCACCACUGGGACUGAGAUACUGCCCAGACACCUACGGGUGGCUGCAGUCGAGAAUCUUCGGCAAUGGACGAAAGUCUGACCGAGCGACGCCGCGUGCGGGAUGAAGGCCCUCGGGUUGUAAACCGCUGUCAGAGGGGAUGAAAUGCGCAUGGGUUAUCCCAUACGCUUGACAGAGCCUCAGAGGAAGCACGGGCUAAGUACGUGCCAGCAGCCGCGGUAACAC
rnacentral:rRNA from 1 species